AUGUCUGUCGUCCGUCCGGUGGGGCUGCCCCAGAGCCCAAGACACCCGUCCGCAUCCACAGCCGGCAUCCCCGUGGGCCCCGUGUCGCUUCCGCCCAGUGUCUACCUCUUGCAGCUCCCGAGUGGCCUGUGUGCUCCCCGACGGCGGCGGCUGCUGGUGGGAGCAGCCGGAACACCCUGUGAAUUGCCCGGCAGGACUCACGCCUGCCUGGCUGCUGGAGGGACGUGGUACCCAGGGGCCACCAGCAACCCCAUGGGGGUGCCAGCGUGGCUGCUCCCACGGCAACUCCGCGACCCAUGCGCACUCCCUGCACCAGUGGCAAAACGUGGCGCCAAUUUUUCAGAGAAAGCAGGUGGUGCGGGUUCAGCAUGGACACUCCCCACCCAGCCCAGGUGCCACCGGGCCUGGAGGGGGCACCCUGACAGCGGAGGAGCCCCGCGGCCUGACCCCGCCUUAAAUAACCAACGUCCUCGCCCAUUCCCGGGGGUUUGGGUGCCAAGUGCUCUGCAAACCUGUUUUCUCUGGCUCAGCCAAAAGACACAACCCCUCCCCCUUCCCCUGACCUCUGGGCUUGGCGCAGGGUGGGGGGUGGGGUGGGGGGGAUUUUCCUUAAAAAUCACAGCUAGGGUAAAUGCAGGCCCUGGGAUGGCCAGGAGGAAACAGGCUGACCCCACCCUCACUGCAGUGGACCGGUGGUGGGUGACGUCAGGGAGGGGCAGGAUGGGAGGUGGCUCACUGUGGGGGGGCCGCCCCUCCCCCCGGAACCCCACUGUGCUUCUCUGUUCGCUCCAUGGUGGCAGCCUGUCUGGUCUCAUCCGUUGUCCGAUGGUUCCUCCGUGUGACUCAGUGUUACCCGUGGUGGACGGUCCUGUGCUCCAAGACGGUUUCUCCUCUUCCUCAUGGCUGCCUUGUACAAACAUCCGUUAGAAAAAGAAAUUGUAAAAUACCAGAUUUCUAACAAGAUGCACACACGGCAUUAAUGGCGUUCGGAGAUUUUUACACCCGGUCUUGUUUUUGACGUGAGCUGGUUUUUACUCUCGAAUGUUGUCACUGAAAUAAAAACCUUCUUUGCCUUUAAAGGGCA
rnacentral:lncRNA from 1 species